rnacentral:rRNA from 1 species
UUCCAGACUCCUACGGGAGGCAGCAGUGGGGAAUAUUGCACAAUGGGGGGAACCCUGAUGCAGCAAUGCCGCGUGGGUGAAGAAGCACUCCGGUGCGUAAAGCCCUGUCAGCAGGGAAGAAAAUGACAGUACCUGGACAAGAAGCCCCGGCUAACUACGUGCCAGCAGCCGCGGUAAUACGUAGGGGGCAAGCGUUAUCCGGAUUUACUGGGUGUAAAGGGAGCGUAGGCGGUAAUGCAAGUCAGAAGUGAAAGCCCGGGGCUCAACUCCGGGACUGCUUUUGAAACUGUGUUGCUAGAUUGCAGGAGAGGUAAGUGGAAUUCCUAGUGUAGCGGUGAAAUGCGUAGAUAUUAGGAGGAACACCAGUGGCGAAGGCGGCUUACUGGACUGUAAAUGACGCUGAGGCUCGAAAGCGUGGGGAGCAAACAGGAUUAGAUACCCCUGUA